rnacentral:rRNA from 1 species
CCUACGGGAGGCAGCAGUGAGGAAUAUUGGUCAAUGGGCGGAAGCCUGAACCAGCCAAGUAGCGUGCGGGAUGAAGGCCCUACGGGUCGUAAACCGCUUUUGCACGGGGAUAACACCCUCCACUUGUGGAUGUCUGCAGGUACCGUGCGAAUAAGGGCCGGCUAAUUCCGUGCCAGCAGCCGCGGUAAUACGGAAGGCCCGAGCGUUAUCCGGAUUCAUUGGGCUUAAAGGGAGCGUAGGCGGUCGUUCAAGUCAGCUGUAAAAUCGCGCGGCUCAACCGCGCCCCGCAGUUGAAACUGGGCGCCUUGAGUACACAACAGGCAGGCGGAAGUCGUGGGGUAGCGGUGAAAUGCAGAGAUAUCACGAGGAACCCCGAUUGCGAAGGCAGCCUGCCGGGGUGCGACUGACGCUGAGGCUCGAAGGUGCGGGUAUCAAACAGGAUUAGAUACCCUUGUAGUC